CGAUAAAAGGCACAGAGCCUCGCAGGACCGCGGAGGAGCGAGUGCCACCUGGGCUCCCUCUUCAUCCUCAUCCCUGCAGGGAAAUGUCAAGAUCGCUAAGUAUCGGACCAUUCUGACCUGCGUUACGUUGAACAAACGCUCCACAUGUUUCUCAUAAAAAUAUACAUCAGAGAUGGCUUCGAACCGAACGUCAAACUUAAUUAAAGAGCUAUAAUGCACAGAUUGAGUUUCAUGCUUCAAGUAUCCAACGAAGGACAAUGGGCCACUCUACGAAAUAUCUAGAGAAGGAAGUGUAUUCGUGUGGAUUUCUUCUGACUCCAUUCCUAGUCAAGUAUUUUAAUUACUUAGAAGCUUUAGUAUCCCAUCGAAUGAGGACAGCAUAAAAACUUUUAAAAAUGAUCAGGCUGGGCAUAUCAAUAUUUAUUGAAAUACUGAAAAAAAAUUCCAUUUUGUUGAGAAAUUCCUGGCAAGAACUGACAUGACAAUAUGUAUUUCACUGACACAGGAAGGAAACGUCAACAAGUAACCGACUUCACACUUUAAACAUUGCAUGGACUCAGAUCCCAGGUAGCUGCAGAAGAUAUGUAAUACAAAUAUUCAGACAUUACAGUUUGUCUGUUUACACAGACCAACGAUAAUAAACAAAGCUAAGCC
rnacentral:lncRNA from 1 species